rnacentral:rRNA from 1 species
AUUGAACGCUGGCGGCAGGCCUAACACAUGCAAGUCGAACGGUAGCACAGAGGAGCUUGCUCCUCGGGUGACGAGUGGCGGACGGGUGAGUAAUGUCUGGGGAUCUGCCCGAUAGAGGGGGAUAACUACUGGAAACGGUAGCUAAUACCGCAUAAUGUCGCAAGACCAAAGCGGGGGACUUUCGGGCCUCGCACCAUCAGAUGAACCCAGAUGGGAUUAGCUAGUAGGUAGGGUAAUGGCUUACCUAGGCGACGAUCCCUAGCUGGUCUGAGAGGAUGACCAGCCACACUGGAACUGAGACACGGUACAGACUCCUACGGGAGGCAGCAGUGGGGAAUAUUGCACAAUGGGCGCAAGCCUGAUGCAGCCAUGCCGCGUGUAUGAAGAAGGCCUUCGGGUUGUAAAGUACUUUCAGUCAGGAGGAAGGGUGUGAAAUUAAUACUUUCAUGCAUUGACGUUACUGACAGAAGAAGCACCGGCUAACUCCGUGCCAGCCGCCGCGGUAA